AGAGUUUGAUCAUGGCUCAGGACGAACGCUGGCGGCGCGCUUAACACAUGCAAGUCGAGCGAGAACCAGACCUUCGGGUCUGGGGAAAGCGGCGAACGGGUGAGUAACACGUGGGUAACCCACCCUUGGUACUGGGAUAGCCCGGGGAAACCCGGAUUAAUACCGGAUGGCCCAACAGCUCUUCGGGGCGGUUGGAAAAGGUAGCUUCGGCCUCCGACCAAGGACGGGCCCGCGGCGGAUUAGCUUGUUGGUGGGGUAAUGGCCUACCAAGGCGACGAUCCGUAGCUGGUCUGAGAGGACGAUCAGCCACACUGGGACUGAGACACGGCCCAGACUCCUACGGGAGGCAGCAGUGGGGAAUCUUGCGCAAUGGACGAAAGUCUGACGCAGCGACGCCGCGUGGGGGAAGAAGGCUCUCGGGUUGUAAACCCCUUUCAGGAAGGACGAAGCCACUCAGGUUAAUAGCCGAGAGGGUGACGGUACUUCCAGAAGAAGCCCCGGCUAACUACGUGCCAGCAGCCGCGGUAAUAC
rnacentral:rRNA from 1 species